rnacentral:lncRNA from 12 species
CCCAGAUGCCAGCCAACAGCCGACCUUGCAAAGCAGGUGUUUCCAAGGAUGUAGCAGCCUUUCGCUGCUACAGUCUUUUCUGCGCAGGCGUUACAAGUCAUUGCAAAUUUUCUUAUGACAUUUCAGAAAAGUGCUGAGCAAACGGGAAAGACUCCCGCCUGCAGUCAGUCAUCUGAUCCUAGCUCAAAACUCACACAGGGCCUCAAAUGGUCAUGAGAUGUCAGGAGAGAGGAACUGAGACUACUUGGGGCUUAUUUUUUCCACCGGGCUAAUGGAAAGUUCGAAGGAUAUGACACGUCAGAACAGGUGUGUUCUCCUCCAAGGAGAUUUUCAACAUUUCCUCCACAUAGCUUGUCUUCGCUACAUAGAAAUUCCUGCGACGCCUCUUGUAUGCUUAGCGGCAAGAGGCCAUGCAGCUUCCCUGGCUCUGGGCGAAACCCUUUGAUGGGUCCCUUACCGAGAGAAACCACAUCAGUGUAACCAGCUUCGAGUGGGUUCCGCAGUGGAGACUCCCAGCGGCUUUCUCCGUGUGUCUCUGGUUUGCUUUCACUCACAGCAACGCCCUCCAGGCCUGAAGGACGUCAGAAGAUUCCCCGGCUUCACCGUCCCCCACUGCGCCCCCGAUGCAGCCCUAGGAUCGUGUCUGUACAAAAGUCAGGGAGCCCGUUGAUCAAUUAUGACUGGUUCCUUUCCAUUCAUUCCUGUCUGUCCUCCCUAAAUCCGCUGGUUUCUGGUCACCUGCUCUGACAUGAGAGCACCCACAUUUUUGGUCCACUGUCCAUCUAGCCUUAGAAGGCUAUUUUCUGUAUUUUGAAGAUUACAUGACAUUAGGAAUAUGAAAGCAUCCUAGAAAAUGUGAAAAGUUGUGUGAGUCAUCAAUGUCAUUUUAUCAUGCGGUGUUAGUAUCCUGCAGAUCUAACUUGUUAAAUGACGAUGAUUUACACAUAAGGUGCCCCAAAGUGACAUUAUUAGGGUCCUAGAACCUCAAAAAUUCUAUAACCGGUUUAUUCCACUGUUUUAAAAAUAUUUUUAUUCGCAAUAGAUUCUUUUUUAUCAACUUUAAAUUCUUGGUCUGAAUCCCUAAUAGUUUAUUGGUUCGAGGUUUUACUUCAAAUGUAUACCAUCUAUUUAGUAUCAAAUCAAUCAGUUUAAAAUGAGGCUGUUUUGAUGAACACAAUAACUUUAAAUUAGAGAUUAUGGAUAACAGUUUGAAUCUCAUAUUAGCCAACUGACCCCUGUGUUUUGUUUUGAAGGCAUAACAUUGGGAAAAUCCUAAUUACACAGAAUAGAAAUCGCAAAACAUAAGUUUUUUUUUAAUAGCUUGCCUGAAAUCUAACAACGCUCUUUAAUUAACUGUUCUAGAAGCUUGAAAAGGGAAUAGAGUGUCUUGUGACUAUUUCGAAAUUGAAUCAUUAACAGUAUCUAAUAACUGCUGUCAUUUUUAA